GAUGAAGAACGCAGCGAAAUGCGAUAAGUAAUGUGAAUUGCAGAAUUCAGUGAAUCAUCGAAUCUUUGAACGCACAUUGCGCCCGCCAGUAUUCUGGCGGGCAUGCCUGUUCGAGCGUCAUUACAACCCUCAGGCCCCGGGCCUGGCGUUGGGGAUCGGCGGAAGCCCCCUGCGGGCACAACGCCGUCCCCCAAAUACAGUGGCGGUCCCGCCGCAGCUUCCAUUGCGUAGUAGCUAACACCUCGCAACUGGAGAGCGGCGCGGCCACGCCGUAAAACACCCAACUUCUGAAUGUUGACCUCGAAUCAGGUAGGAAUACCCGCUGAACUUAAGCAUAUCAAUAAGCGGAGGA
rnacentral:misc_RNA from 1 species